rnacentral:rRNA from 1 species
CCUACGGGUGGCAGCAGUGAGGAAUAUUGGUCAAUGGACGCAAGUCUGAACCAGCCAAGCCGCGUGCAGGAAGACGGCUCUAUGAGUUGUAAACUGCUUUUGUACGAGGGUAAACGCAGAUACGUGUAGCUGUCUGAAAGUAUCGGAAGAAUAAGGAUCGGCUAACUCCGUGCCAGCAGCCGCGGUAAUACGGAGGAUUCAAGCGUUAUCCGGAUUUAGUGGGGUUAAAGGGUGCGUAGGCGGUCGGAUAAGUUAUAGGUGAAAUCCCGCGGCUCAACUUCGGAAUUGCCUCUGAUACUGUUCUUCUAGAGCGUAGUUGCGGUAGGCGGAAUGUAUGGUGUAGCGGUGAAAUGCUU